rnacentral:rRNA from 1 species
UACGUAGGGUGCGAGCGUUAUUCGGAAUUACUGGGCGUAAAGCGUGCGCAGGCGGUUCGUUAAGUCAGAUGUGAAAGCCCCGGGCUCAACCUGGGAACUGCAUUUGAAACUGGCGGGCUUGAGUGCGGCAGAGGGGGGUGGAAUUCCGCGUGUAGCAGUGAAAUGCGUAGAGAUGCGGAGGAACACCGAUGGCGAAGGCAGCGCCCUGGGCCAACACUGACGCUCAGGCACGAAAGCGUGGGGAGCAAACAGG